GCAAGAAGUGGUGACAACCCCGUGUACAUCUGGGGCCACUCUCUGGGCACUGGCGUGGCGACAAAUCUGGUGCGGCGCCUCUGUGAGCGAGAGACGCCUCCAGAUGCCCUUAUAUUGGAAUCUCCAUUCACUAAUAUCCGCGAAGAAGCUAAGAGCCAUCCAUUUUCAGUGAUAUAUCGAUACUUCCCUGGGUUUGACUGGUUCUUCCUUGAUCCUAUUACAAGUAGUGGAAUUAAAUUUGCAAAUGAUGAAAACGUGAAGCACAUCUCCUGUCCCCUGCUCAUCCUGCACGCUGAGGACGACCCGGUGGUGCCCUUCCAGCUUGGCAGAAAGGUGGGUCCUGGCCUCUGCCUCUGGUGUAGCUGGCAUCUUGCACACUCAGCCAGUGUGGGUGGACCAGGCUGGGAGUGGGCAGGCGGGAAGGCAGCCCCUGCAUGCUGCAUCACGGGCUGCGCACCAGCCACGUCAGGCUCAGGAGGCCACCUCAUCCUCCCUGCGUCACCUCCAGGCUGCUUCGGAAGGACAUGGGAGGUCUGGUGUAAAGGUUGGGGCAGGGGCCCACUGAUGCUGUCUCCAAGAAUAUGAAAAAUAAGCAGAUAGUUCCCAGUCCUCACACAGGG
rnacentral:lncRNA from 1 species